AGCCUGAUGCAGCAACGCCGCGUGCGGGAUGACGGCCUUCGGGUUGUAAACCGCUUUUAGUAAGGAAGAAGGGGCUUCGGCCUUGACGGUACUUGCAGAAAAAGGACCGGCUAACUACGUGCCAGCAGCCGCGGUAAUACGUAGGGUCCGAGCGUUGUCCGGAAUUAUUGGGCGUAAAGAGCUCGUAGGCGGUUUGUCGCGUCUGCUGUGAAAUCCCGAGGCUCAACCUCGGGCCUGCAGUGGGUACGGGCAGACUUGAGUGGUGUAGGGGAGACUGGAAUUCCUGGUGUAGCGGUGGAAUGCGCAGAUAUCAGGAGGAACACCGAUGGCGAAGGCAGGUCUCUGGGCACUUACUGACGCUGAGGAGCGAAAGCGUGGGGAGCGAACAGGAUUAGAUACCCUGGUAGUCCACGCCGUAAACGUUGGGCGCUAGAUGUGGGGACCUUUCCACGGUUUCCGUGUCGUAGCUAACGCAUUAAGCGCCCCGCCUGGGGAGUACGGCCGCAAGGCUAAAACUCAAAGGAAUUGACGGGGGCCCGCACAAGCGGCGGAGCAUGCGGAUUAAUUCGAUGCAACGCGAAGAACCUUACCAAGGCUUGACAUGACCGAGAACGCCCUAGAAAUAGGGAACUCUUUGGACACUCGGUUACAGGUGGUGCAUGGUUGUCGUCAGCUCGUGUCGUGAGAUGUUGGGUUAAGUCCCGCAACGAGCGCAACCCUCGUCGCAUGUUGCCAGCACGUUAUGGUGGGGACUCAUGUGAGACUGCCGGGGUCAACUCGGAGGAAGGUGGGGAUGACGUCAAAUCAUCAUGCCCCUUAUGUCUUGGGCUUCACGCAUGCUACAAUGGCCGGUACAAAGGGCUGCGAUGUCGUAAGGCGGAGCGAAUCCCAAAAAGCCGGUCUCAGUUCGGAUUGAGGUCUGCAACUCGACCUCAUGAAGUCGGAGUCGCUAGUAAUCGCAGAUCAGCAACGCUGCGGUGAAUACGUUCCCGGGUCUUGUACACACCGCCCGUCAAGUCAUGAAAGUCGGU
rnacentral:rRNA from 1 species